rnacentral:rRNA from 1 species
UCCUACGGGGGGCAGCAGUGAGGAAUAUUGGUCAAUGGUCGGGAGACUGAACCAGCCAAGCCGCGUGAGGGAGGAAGGUACAGAGUAUCGUAAACCUCUUUUGUCAGGGAACAAAGACUGGGACGCGUCCCCGGAUGAGUGUACCUGAAGAAAAAGCAUCGGCUAACUCCGUGCCAGCAGCCGCGGUAAUACGGAGGAUGCGAGCGUUAUCCGGAUUUAUUGGGGUUAAAGGGGGCGCAGGCGGUCUGUUAAGUCAGCGGUCAAGGCCCGGGGCGCAACCCCGGC